GUUUAAUUGCUGAGGCUGACUUUGAAUUUGGAAUCCUCCCACUUCAGCCUCCUGAGCCAUUGUAUUACAGGCAUGUGCCACACACCUGGGUUGAUUGUUUUCUUUAAUACAGUUUGGACCAAUAUAAAUUAGAGAGUGAGGAAACAUGGCCUACACAUGGGACUGUACAUUUUAAUUUAACAUUUCAGUUUGACUUGUUCUGUAAACAGGAAGGAAAAUGGACAGAUCUGACUAUCUACCUGGUUCUUUUCCCUGAUAUUUUUCUUUUUUAAAAAAAUGGUUAUUCUAGUUGGGCAUGCUGGCCCAUACUUGUAAUCUCAGCAGCUUGGGACGCGGAGAUAGGAGGAUCUGAGAUAGAAGUUCAAAGCCAGCCUCAACAACAGCAAGGCGCUAGGCAACUGAGUGGGACCCUGUCUCUAAAUAAAAUACAAAAUAGGGCUGGGGAUGUGGCUCAGUGGCCUAGUGCCCCUGAGUUCAGUCCCUGGUACCACCUCCCCCCAAAAAACAAAGUUAUCGUAGUCAGGCAUAAUGGCGCAUGCCUGUAAUCCCAGCAGUUUGGGUACUGAUGCAGGAGGAUCACAAGAUCAAAGCCAACCUCAGCAAUUUAGUGAGGCCCUAAACAACUUAGCUUGUCCCUGACUCAAAACAAAAAAUAAAAAGGCCUGGGAAUGUAGCUCAGUGAUAAAGCACUCCUGGGUUCAAUCCCCAGUACCAAACAAGCAAUUAAUUAUUCAAGGGUUAUUAUUUUAAGCAGUUAUUUAAUGGCUAACUAAUUCCCAAAUGAAAAAAAAAAAAAAAAAAAAAAAAACAGGGAUCUUCCCCUUUAGAAAGCCCUAAAGAGGAGGGUAAACAGGGGGAUGUUGACUUGGAUCUGCCUCGGGGCUAAUAAACAAGUAGUCACCUGAACCACUGCUUCAUAGACUCUGCCCGACCAUCCCCAGCUAGAUGGGCCUCCUCCAUAUCUGUGUCCCCUGUGGUGUAAUCUGUUGCUCAGUGUGUCAUUUGAUAACCUUCUGUGUCAGAGUAUGUUUUGAUUUUUGGUAUUCUAAAUCUGGUGCAUGCUCCUACCUAUGAAGACCUAAAAUCUAGUAAAUGAUAAUUAUAAAAUAUUUGUUUUCUGCCUUUUAAUGCAUGUUUGUAUACCUGUAUAUAUUGUAUGUCUACUUGUGUGCUUGUGUAUAUAUCUGUAUUCAUGGUACCAAAUUGAUUUAGAGAUAAAGGAGGGAUGAUCAUUUUAAAAAACUGAAUCUAAAAAUGUCUCUUAGUGGGCUGGGGAUGUGGCUCAAGCAGUAGCACGCUCGCCUGGCAUGCGCAGGGCACUGGGUUCGAUCCUCAGCACCACAUAAAAAUAAAGAUGUGUC
rnacentral:lncRNA from 1 species